rnacentral:rRNA from 1 species
GUCUAUGGCCAUGCCACCCUGAACAAGCCGGAUCCCAUCUGAUCAAGGAAGCUAAGCAGGGUCAGGCCUGGUUAGUACUUGGAUGGGGGACCAACUAGGAAGACCUGGUGCUGUAGGUG